rnacentral:tRNA from 1 species
GAGAUAGUCAUAAAGGUUAUGGGGUUGACUUGAAAUUAAUCUGAGGGGGUUCAAUUCCUCCCUUUCUUA